UAGAACAAUACUGAAGAAAACUUACGUCUUGAAUCAAAAAACUUUCAAGACAAAUUGGCAAGGAUAACAGCAGAAAUAGUAACCGAAUCACAACAAAGUGGAGAAUCUGAAGAUCAACCUGUUGUGUCGAAUCCUGCAAUUGAAACCAUAAUAAUAAAGGAAAUUAAUGCAACAAACAUCGAAGUUAUAAAUUCUCCUGAAAGGAACUCCAGAUCGAUAUAUGAAAAACUAUGAAAAAGAUAUAGUGCUAUUAAAGGAAAUAAAAGGAAUAGUGUAUGAUAGCGUAUUAGGGUCGACAUUCAAGGCAUCCCAUUUGGCCUGAAGACUUUGUUAUUUGUUUCUUACAAUAAAUAGAUGCCAUUUUAACAUGUACCUUUUCCGGGCAACCUUCAAAGACACAAGGGAAUGAGAUGAGAAACAACAAAUACGGCACAUUGAAUGGUGAAGCUCGGAAAGCGUUAACAGAUUUCUGCCGAAUAUGCUCAAAAACAUGAAUGGACCCCUAAACUCCAUAUGAUGUCAAUCAAACUAAGACACAAAAAAUAGGAGAACUUAAAAGGCAACAUAAAAAAUUAUGUAAUUCCCG